ACAGGAACUCCAGAACAAUCUGACACUCCAGUGUCUGCUACUGACAUGUGUUCCCUUGCUGAAUGGCCAUCCCAUGCUCGCCGCAACCGUGCACUACUACAGGAUGAAGCUGGUGGACAGAAGAAGAAAGGGCGAGGUGUUCUAAAAGGUUUUAAAGCAUCUAAGAAGCGUUUUGCCAAUGGAUCUGCAAAGCUAAGUAUUACAUUCUCUGAAAAAUUGGGUGGUACAGUAGGAAUGAACUAUCGUUCGUUCAAGGAUGACGUGGUAGUCAUAAUGAAAAGAAAGUUACCACUCAUUGGAGUGAGGACGUGCUCCACUUACAAGGCAUACAUAACAGAUGCAGCUAGAUUGGCUAAUCUGCCGGAAGAUUUGCAACUAGAAGAGUGGGAGUGGAUGAUUGAGUACUUUGGCACUGAUUCAAAAUUUCAGGAUCGCAGCCAAAAGAACGCCGAUAACCGUAAGAAACAGAAGACAAAACACAUAAUCGGAUCAAAAUCUUACUCGCAAGUUAGUUUUCAGAAGAGAAACUUGGAAACUGGAGAAGAGCCAGAUUGUAUUGCUCUGUGGGAACUCACCCACACGAACGAUGGAACAUGGUCUAACACAGAUUCCCAGAAAGUUUACGACAAAGCACUUCAAGAGGUUAAAAUCAAAGAAACUGAAACUGAAGGUCCACUUUCAAGUGAGCAGAAAAACAAUAUUUUCCAGACCGCUUACAAAGACACUCUGGAAUGCAAGUCAUCGCAGCCUCGUGGGUACAGAUACAUGGCCAAAACUUCAACUGGUUCUGAAAGGUUUCGUAUCCAGAUCGAAGAGCAAGCUCGUGCUACAGCAGCCACCCAGGAGCGAAACUCUCAGCUCAGCCAGCAGGUCAACGAAUUAGAAGAUCAACUACAAGCUGAACGUGCAAACACACAAGAGAGGAUUAACUUGGAGCAUGCUGAGAGAGAACAACUUGAGGAGAGGUUAAAAGAAGAGUGUGCUGAAAGGGAAAGAUUGUUGCAAGAGGAGCGAACAUCAAGACUGGAAUUUGAAAGAAACAUGAUGGCAAAGUUUGUAGAAUUGAGCCAACAGAUGGGAACCCAACAGGUGCCUAUGAAGAGGGUUGACAAAGAAAAUUGUAAUCCAAACUUGCAAAAUAUUCUUUUACAGGGAUCUAGUCCUAAUAAGACUCCAGGUUCAAGGCCAACUGCUAUUUCUUCAAAUGCGCUCAUACAAGCUGCAGCAAGGCAUUCUCGAAUGUUUAAAGAUGUCAUGAGC
rnacentral:rRNA from 1 species